rnacentral:rRNA from 1 species
UACGUAGGGUGCAAGCGUUAAUCGGAAUUACUGGGCGUAAAGCGUGCGCAGGCGGUUCGGAAAGAAAGAUGUGAAAUCCCCGGGCUUAACCUGGGAACUGCGUUUGAAACUGGAAGGCUAGAGUGUGGCAGAGGGGAGUGGAAUUCCACGUGUAGCAGUGAAAUGCGUAGAUAUGUGGAGGAACACCGAUGGCGAAGGCAGCCCCCUGGGCUAACACUGACGCUCAUGCACGAAAGCGUGGGGAGCAAACAGG